rnacentral:rRNA from 1 species
AUUGAACGCUGGCGGUAGGCCUAACACAUGCAAGUCGAGCGAGCGGCGGACGGGUGAGUAAUGUAUGGGGACUGCCCGAUAGAGGGGGAUAACUACUGGAAACGGUAGCUAAUACCGCAUACUAUCGGAUAACCCAUAUGGGAUACGCUAGUAGGUGAGGUAAUGGCUCACCUAGGCGACGAUCUCUAGCUGGUCUGAGAGGAUGAUCAGCCAAACUGGGACGGAGAAACGGCCCAGACUCCGACGGAGGCAGCGGUGGGGAAUAUUGCACAAUGGGCGCAAGCCUGAUGCAGCCAUGCAGCGUGUAUGAUGAAGGCCUUCGGGUUGUAAAGUACGUUUGGCAGAGAAGCGGUAUCUGCAGAAUAAGCACCGGCUAACUACGUGCCAGCAGCCGCGGUAAUAC